rnacentral:rRNA from 1 species
UACGUAGGGGGCGAGCGUUGUCCGGAUUUAUUGGGCGUAAAGAGCUCGUAGGCGGUUUGGCAAGUCGGGUGUGAAAACUCCGGGCUCAACUCGGAGACGCCACUCGAUACUGCCAUGACUCGAGUCCGGUAGGGGAGUGCGGAAUUCCGGGUGUAGCGGUGGAAUGCGUAGAGAUCCGGAAGAACACCGGUGGCGAAGGCGGUUGGCUGGGCCGUAGCUGACACUGAGGCGCGACAGCGUGGGGAGCAAACAGG